rnacentral:rRNA from 1 species
GGGUCAGUAGAUUGGUCAUGCCUCUGGUAUGUACUGGUCUUACUGGCUCCUCCUUCCUGAUGAACCGUAAUGCCAUUAAUUUGGUGUUGCGGGGAGACUGGACUGUUACUUUGAAAAAAUUAGAGUGUUUAAAGCAAGCGUACGCUUGAAUACAUUAGCAUGGAAUAAUGAAAUAGGGCU